rnacentral:rRNA from 1 species
GUGCAGCAGUCGCGAAACCUCCACAAUGCGGGAAACCGUGAUGGGGGAAUCCGAGUGCCCGUUGGCUAAUGCUGGCGGGCUUUUCUCAAGCGUAAAAGGCUUGAGGAAUAAGGACUGGGUAAGACCGGUGCCAGCCGCCGCGGUAACACCGGCGGUCCAACUGGUGAUCAGCAUUAUUGGGUCUAAAGCGUCCGUAGCCGGAUGGUUGGAUUUCGAGUGAAAUUCCCCAGCUUAACUGGUGGGCGUGCCUGAAACACCCGCCAUCUAGGGACCGGGAGAGGUAGGGGGUAGGCCCCGGGUAGAAGUAAAAUUCUAUAAUCCGGGGAGGACCACCGGUGGCG